rnacentral:rRNA from 1 species
UACGGAGGGUGCAAGCGUUAUCCGGAUUCACUGGGUUUAAAGGGAGCGCAGGCGGAUUGGUAAGUCAGUGGUGAAAGGCUUAAGCUUAACUUGGGAACUGCAUCCGAUACUGGAUGGCUUGAAUCCGGGAGAGGGAUGCAGAAUUCCAGGUGUAGCGGUGAAAUGCGUAGAUAUCUGGAGGAAUACCGGUGGCGAAGGCGGCAUCCUGGACCGGCAUUGACGCUGAGGAGCGAAAGCUAGGGGAGCAAACGGG